rnacentral:rRNA from 1 species
GAUGAACGCUGGCGGCAGGCUUAACACAUGCAAGUCGAACGGGCGUAGCAAUACGUCAGUGGCAGACGGGUGAAUAACACGUGGGAACCUUCCUCGUAGUACGGAACAACUCAGGGAAACUUGAGCUAAUACCGUAUACGUCCGAGAGGCGAAAGAUUGAUCGCUAUGAGACGGGCCCGCGUCCGAUUAGCUCGUUGGUGGGGUAACGGCCUACCAAGGCAACGAUCGGUAGCUGAUCUGAGAGGAUGAUCAGCCACACUGGGACUGAGACACGGCCCAGACUCCUACGGGAGGCAGCAGUGGGGAAUCUUGGACAAUGGGCGAAAGCCUGAUCCAGCCAUGCCGCGUGAGUGAAGAAGGCCUUAGGGUUAUAAAGCUCUUUUGGCAGGGACGAUAAUGACGGUACCUACAGAAUAAGCCCCGGCAAACUUCGUGCCAGCAGCCGCCGUAA